AAUUAUUAAUUUUUGCGGCUGGACGCGGUGACUCAUACCUGUAAUCUCAACACUUUGGGAGGCCGAGGUGGGCAGAUCACCUGAGGUCAGGAGUUUGAGACCAGCCUGGCCAGCAUGGUGAAACUCUGUCUCUACUAAAAAUACAAUAAUUAGCUGGGUGUGGUGGCACGCACCUGUAAUCCCAGCUACUGGGGAGGCUGAGGCAGGAGAAUCUCAUGAACCCAGGAGGCAGAGGUGGCGGUGAGCUGAGAUUGCACCACUACACUCCAGACUGGGAUUUAAGAAAAUGUGUAGUUAAAUAUUGCCUAAAAUGCUCGAAUGUAGGUUAUAAACAAUGAGAAUAGGGCCCAUGAAGAGAUUUUCGUUUUUCACAGAGGUGAGACUUAAAAAGGCCUUGAAGGAUAAAUAGAAAUAGAAGCAGAGUAGAAGGGUUAUUCCAGGAGAAUAUUAGUUUGGAUGAGGGCACAGAGGCAGGAAGAUGGAGCUUAGCUUGAGGGAAUGGAGGUCACUGGUGCUGUGAAUAUUUGCAGACAGCCAUAUCCAGAGCUGAGAGGUGAAAGAACAGACUGGAAUAGUUCUUUUCUUUUUCACUCUCCUACCUUAUUUGCUUUUGGUUUAGCAAGGAGGAUCGAAAGUAAACCAAGAGAAAUGGUGGGGGGCAGCAGAGGGAGGUGGGAGGGAAACUCCAGGAUGAGUUAUGGUCAGCCAAAAGAAGCUGUUGAAAUAAAAUGACCAAGAGUUAAUGCCUUUAUAGACGCAGGGAUGCACAGCCUAGAUCCCCUUCCUCUAAAGGACUUGCUGCCCAUCCACUGAAAGCUUGGUCAGCAGCCAGCCCCCAGCUAUCGGCUCUUUCAGGGCCUGCCUUGUUGCAAAGGGCCGCCUCCCUGCAAAGAGCUGCCUUGCUCAAAGAGCUGCCUUGCACUAGGUCAUGCUCUUCUGGUGGCAGCUUGCAUCCUGUCACAGAGAGGCAGGGGUGUGAAAGCACAGCCAUCUCAUUUGCUCUGCAGGACAAUAUCCACUCCAGAGUUCCUGCUAGACUGGCCAAGACCUUGUUGCCAUUCAACUUCUUUCCCAUUCUACUCGCUCCCUCCUUCCUUCACAGGUGUUGAGCCCUAAUAAAAUUUUGCACCCGAAAUUCUGCUUCAUUAUCUGUUUCUGGAGAACCCAACCUGUAACAUUUUCCCAGCCAGGGCUGAAUACACACACACACACACACACACACACACACACACGUGCUCUCUCUGUAUAUAUGUUUCUGUGUAUGUAUAUAUGUAUGUAUAUUUUUAAUUACUUUUCUCCAUUCAAUAGUAUACUGCCUAUCAAUUAUUAGCAAAUUGUAUUUUCAACCUGUUGGCUUAUUUAUUCUAAAUAUAGCCAUUUUCCUCUAAAGAGAAAUCUUUGUUGCCAAAAGAAUUUUAUAAUGGCAAAAUCAGUCAUUUUCCCCACUAAUCGCAAUGUAAUUUUGCCCAUUUUGAGAUGGGCAAAAAUCAUAUGUUCAGAACAGUAAGGUGAGACAGAAUCAGCUAAUUUACUGAUAACUGUGGGCACUACCUGAACUGACGUAUCAUGCUGCUACGCACUUUAGUACCAGGCUCUCUGGUGGCCAGUUCUUUGCAGGAUAACGUGGAAUAAUGCUUAUGUAAAAUAUGACUUCCAAGACUAAUUCUCAACUUCAGACUCCCCACUCCCAGCAUUAUUGCUUUGGCAUUAGUAAUGUUAGUCAGAAAUAUGAGUAAUUCUUGGCAAGAAUGGGAAGCAUUCAACUUGUAACUUCAAAAAGACAUUAUCUGAAAGGUUGAAAGCCAGUUUCUAAUAGUACCUGGUAUCUUGGCUUCAGGGCUCACAGCAAUCCUGUGGAGAAAGUAUGAGUUUCCCAUUUCAACAAAGAAGGCCUUCACCUGUGCGAGCACUGAGCGCCUGGCUGCCAGCUCCAGAGCUCCUCUGGGGCCUUGGUCAGUGUGGUGUUGUUUAUGUCCAGCACACUUUCCGUUGGUCUACUGGAGGACAGUUCCUGUACAGGCAGAUGACUUCCUUCACCAAGGACCUGUGACUCUCUCCCUGAGGGCUUUCUCUGACAUCAUCUGCACAUGGACAGCUUAGACUGAAAGUUUCAGGGGUUCGAUGCCUUCCAGAGGCACCUCUCUAACAAUAAGAGCCCAGAUUGAGUGGAAAUACCCCAGCUUCCUUACCACUCCAGCCUCCAUGCCCUUAGUGGCAUGAUUCCGAGGUGCAUCCUACACUGACUCUUGGUGGCUCCCUGGCCAGAGCUCAUUCGCGUGGCCCUCAGCAGCUCUCCUCCUUCCCUGGCUGUCUUCCUCACCACCUCUCCGUGAUUCCAGGAAUCAGCUCCCGAAUAAACGACUUGCACCCGAAUCCUUGUCUCAGGGUCUGCUUCUGGGGGCACACCGAGGAAGACAGCAAUCCCGUCCUAAGGUUUUGCACAUCUGAGCCAGAGGGACCCCCUGGGACCGGGUCUCAGGGCUGAGUUUUGGAGGAGUGGGAGACACUCAGGGUGCGGCUUGAGGAGGGAUGAGGUGAGACUUUGAGGUCGGCAGAUGGCAUUUCUGGCAGGCGCCUAGCAUGGAAGGUGUGAGAGGAAGAGGGAGGUUGGGGACAGUGGACAUCCUUGGGGGUGGUGGGGAAGGAAUCAGGGCUGGGAACCUGCCUCUGUCAGCAAAGGGAACUGUGCCAGUGGGCCCCAGGACCAAUGCCAGGGAGGCCACGUUCACCCAGCGGCUCAGCCAAGUCUUUUUAAGGAGUGGAAUGGGAAAUGCCGUUUACUGGCUUGCUGUUGGCCCAGUAUUUAUUGUUUUACAUUUUUGCCCUGGAAUUUCCAUUGUCCUUACUCCUUAGAGGAGACUACACUUUUGCAGCUAAUAAAAUAUGUUCUCCAGGUUAAAUGGCAUUUCAGCAAGUGCCAUCAUUACAUUUUUCAGCACCCAGCCACUUACAUAGCUCUUCCAUUUUGUCCUGAUAAAAUCACCCUGUGCAGUGAGCAAGGCGAGGGUUAUAUGCCCGCCUCUGCGAUGCUGGCUAAUGUGCUCACAGCGCCCCAGCUAUGAGUAGCAUGGGUCGGGGGAGUGCACAGAGCCUGUCAAUGUGGCUUCACUCCUGCGGCAGGCCCCAAGGGUGACAGCCCUCUGCUGGCGGACUCAGAGCUAUUCCAGGAGUAGGCUGGGCUGGCCCCACGAGGGGCAGAAAGCCAGCGCCUAUAGAUGCAGCUCUCUUCUACCCAUCUGUCCUCUCGAGCCCCCACUGCAGCCGGCUGGGCUUUCCAAGUCCUGUUUUUUUCCAUUGAUUCUAGGGAUGGCAACGUUUGGAUAGAACAUCAGAGCUCGGUUGGUGCCUGGGCAGUCAUGACCGUGGGCAUGGGCAGGGCAGCAUGGUGACGUGGGGCUGGGCUCAGGAUCAAAUGAGACAGGCCUGAAAUCCAUCAGAGCCUCUUAAAGCCUGGACAAGUGGCCAGUUCUUUGAAGGGUUUAUAUCUGUAUUGCCUAGUGCAGCUUCCAGAUGUGUGGUUUAGGAUGUUGAAAGCACUUGUUAUUGCUUGUGUUAAUAUGAUGAAAGCAAUACUAAUAAAGUGUAGUCUCUGAGGCUGA
rnacentral:lncRNA from 1 species